CGCUGGCGGCCUGCCUUGACGUGCGAGUCGAACGGGGGCAUGAUCGAUUUUGGUGGAUUGAUGGCGAGUGCUAAACGGGUGAGUAAUACAUCGGAACGUGCCCUGUAGUGGGGGAAAACUAGUCGAAAGAUUAGCUAAUACCGCAUACGACCUGAGGGUGAAAGUGGGGGACCGCAAGGCCUCAUGCUAUAGGAGCGGCCGAUGUCUGAUUAGCUAGUUGGUGAGGUAAAGGCUCACCAAGGCGACGAUCAGUAGCUGGUCUGAGAGGACGAUCAGCCACACUGGGACUGAGACACGGCCCAGACUCCUACGGGAGGCAGCAGUGGGGAAUUUUGGACAAUGGGGGCAACCCUGAUCCAGCAAUGCCGCGUGUGUGAAGAAGGCCUUCGGGUUGUAAAGCACUUUUGUCCGGAAAGAAAUCGCACUUACUAAUAUUAGGUGUGGAUGACGGUACCGGAAGAAUAAGGACCGGCUAACUACGUGCCAGCAGCCGCGGUAAUACGUAGGGUCCAAGCGUUAAUCGGAAUUACUGGGCGUAAAGCGUGCGCAGGCGGUUGUGCAAGACCGAUGUGAAAUCCCCGGGCUUAACCUGGGAAUUGCAUUGGUGACUGCACGGCUAGAGUGUGUCAGAGGGGGGUAGAAUUCCACGUGUAGCAGUGAAAUGCGUAGAGAUGUGGAGGAAUACCGAUGGCGAAGGCAGCCCCCUGGGAUAACACUGACGCUCAUGCACGAAAGCGUGGGGAGCAAACAGGAUUAGAUACCCUGGUAGUCCACGCCCUAAACGAUGUCAACUAGUUGUUGGGGAUUCAUUUCCUUAGUAACGUAGCUAACGCGUGAAGUUGACCGCCUGGGGAGUACGGUCGCAAGGUUAAAACUCAAAGGAAUUGACGGGGACCCGCACAAGCGGUGGAUGAUGUGGAUUAAUUCGAUGCAACGCGAAAAACCUUACCUACCCUUGACAUGCCACUAACGAAGCAGAGAUGCAUUAGGUGCUCGAAAGAGAAAGUGGACACAGGUGCUGCAUGGCUGUCGUCAGCUCGUGUCGUGAGAUGUUGGGUUAAGUCCCGCAACGAGCGCAACCCUUGUCUCUAGUUGCUACGAAAGGGCACUCUAGAGAGACUGCCGGUGACAAACCGGAGGAAGGUGGGGAUGACGUCAAGUCCUCAUGGCCCUUAUGGGUAGGGCUUCACACGUCAUACAAUGGUGCAUACAGAGGGUUGCCAAGCCGCGAGGUGGAGCUAAUCCCAGAAAAUGCAUCGUAGUCCGGAUCGUAGUCUGCAACUCGACUACGUGAAGCUGGAAUCGCUAGUAAUCGCGGAUCAGCACGCCGCGGUGAAUACGUUCCCGGGUCUUGUACACACCGCCCGUCACCCCAUGGGAGUGGGUUCUCCCAGAAGUAGUUAGCCGAACCGCAAGGGGGGCGAUUGCCGCGGCAGGGUUCAGGACUGGGGUGA
rnacentral:rRNA from 1 species